CGCAAGAGCGGGAAGAAUAGACCGCACUUAGGCGGCGUGCGCAUGCAACAGAUGACGGAUCCGCACCUGAACCAGCUGCUGUCUCGCCUCUCGCGCGGAACGCCGUGCGCCAGAAGAGGGAGAAUGCGUCACGCACGUUUUAGACUUAUCUCUUUCGCGGGUAUUUUCUUUUUUCGUGGAUCCCAAGAAAUUUUUUAGUUGAAUUCUAGCUGGCAUUCGGUUUAAAUGGUUCGCGCGGAGAUAGUGUAGAUUCGUUCUUGUUUGCUCGCAGUCCGAUCGCUUGGUGUUGAAUUGAGUUUGAGAGUCGCCGCCGAGAGGAUUCUUCGAAACGUCCCCGGCCUUUGAUCUUCGCCGAACUUGCAACCCGCCUACUUAGACGUCAAACUUGCCCGUCCCGUGCAGAUCGCGCUGAUUGCGGACUGAACCCAGAUAAAGGGCUGGCAGCGAAGUAAAACAGUAAAGACCACGGAAAGCACCACGAGCCCAGAUUGUGUCGCGCAACUCUGCUCGCGCCCGCUUUCCCUUGAACGGAAAACGUGAAAACUCGCCAAAGAAAUCACCGCCUGGCCACGGUUUGUGAUGAUUGUGAUGAGGUUACUCUCCGGAUCCGUGUCGCUAACUAUUUCGUGAUUUUGCCACAUUGUGCGCCCCGUCCUCCGCCGCCCGCUCGCAGGAUACCGUCCAGCCGCGGGAACUCUGUCGCCCUAAAAUCCAAUCGAUCCCCACAAAGUCAACGAGAAAUUCAAGUUUUUUAUUGGCGUUCGCUGGUCGUGUCUCAGAGUUUUCUUGUUUUCUUUUCACCGCGAUCUCGAGAUCAAGACACAUUUCUUCGGCCGGUCGUCAUCGCAAUCGUUCACCAGUUAUUUGUGCGGAAUUCCGAUCGAAUCGAGAGAACGUGCAGCUCGAAUUGUUUACCUGAUUUUCAGUUGUACGGCUUAAGUGAGACGUCGCGGGCAGUGAUCUCAGGUGCGGAGUCGCUUCCUCCCAAGUACGCUAACUGGCACAAUUGCAUUUCCCGCUGAUCCGGAACAAAUAACAAACGCAAAAUGAGUACAUGUGACAAUAAUAACGCGCAGCAGAACACACAGAGUAUAGCCGACUACCUGGCGCAGCUACUUAAGGAUAGGAAGCAGCUCGCCGCCUUCCCCAAUGUCUUCAAUCACGUGGAACGUCUUUUGGAAGAAGAAAUUGCCAAAGUCCGUGCAUCACUUUUUCAAAUAAAUGGAGUUAAAAAGGAGCCACUACAGUUGCCAGAACCAGAAGGUCAACCAGUCACAUUAAAUGAAAAAGUGUAUGUGCCAGUUAAAGAGCAUCCAGAUUUCAAUUUUGUUGGUCGAAUUCUUGGACCUCGUGGUAUGACAGCUAAACAGUUAGAACAGGAAACUGGCUGUAAAAUUAUGGUACGAGGAAAAGGUUCAAUGCGAGACAAAAAGAAGGAAGAUGCAAACCGUGGAAAACCAAAUUGGGAGCAUUUGUCAGAUGAACUGCAUGUUUUAAUCACAGUUGAAGAUACAGAAAAUCGUGCCAGAGUCAAAUUAGCCAGAGCUGUUGAAGAAGUACAAAAGUUAUUAGUACCACAGGCGGAAGGUGAAGACGAAUUGAAGAAACGACAGCUUAUGGAAUUGGCCAUCAUCAAUGGAACAUAUAGAGAUACAACCGCCAAAACAGCAGCUGCAGCCUGCGAGGAGGAAUGGCGUCGUGUUGCUGCCGUUGCCGCCGAAUCCCGUAUACUAUCACCAGCCACCAUGUCAGGUUUGGCUGCCCAACAAUUACGUAACCCAACCGCCCCACUUGGAGCCCCACUCAUCUUAUCACCCCGAAUGUCUGUACCAACCACAGCCGCCAGUAUCCUAUCAGGAUCUGCACCACCAACAAUUGAUCAUCCAGGACUGAUAUAUGCAACACCGUAUGGUGACUAUGCUGCAAAUUAUGCAGCAUUGGCAGCUGGCAAUCCUUUACUUACGGAAUACACAGAUCAUAGCGUUGGUCGAUAUUUGCAUGCCGGCUCCGUGUUUUAGAAUCAGUCUGAUUUAAACAAACACAAUAUAAAAACAUUGAUAUUUAUAUACUAUAUUACAAAACCAAAAUCAGAUAAACAUAUCUACGGCGUUUCUGUUCUUCCUUGAAGGGAGUGGUGUUUUGUUAUAUACAUAUAUAAUAGAAGAGAUCUAGAUAUAUGUUGAAAAUAUAUACAUUACAUAUUUACUAUAAGCAGAUAUUUCCCUUAUAUACACUUUUAAGUACUCUAGAAAAAAAGAAAAAAACUUAAAAAAAAGAUGUUAUACAAAUGAAUAGAAAUAUUUUUACAAAUCUUUUAUUCAGAGUGAAAAUCACAUUGAGAGUAUAUUCAGAUAUCCAGUUUUUACGUACGACCGCAAUGGGAAAUGCAAAAAAUAGUCUAAAUCAACAGUUUUGCACAUAUAGGAUAUAGAUUUAAAAACUUAAACAAUACUCAAUUAAAACCGAUUUGUGAAGUCAUAUAAAUUUAUUUAUACAAGUUCUACCUACAGCAGGCGCGUAAUUUCGCCUCAAUGAGGGGAGUUCGUGAUUUGAAAUUAUCUGCAUUUGAAGAGGAAGUAUGAUGUCAAAUAGCAAACAGUAGAUCAGUUUAAAGUGCAUUUAACCUGCCAAUUACAAAAAUUGAACUCCGCUGAAAUAUUACGCUUUGUCCAGACGUUAGGAGGAAGAAGAUACAAAUCUUAAACGUUUUGAUUUGAACAAAUAUUUUCUCAUUAGAUAUCAGUAACUCUAAAUAGUUAUGUAAAGUAGACAUGAAAACAGACCUUGUAUAUUUUUGUUGAAGAGUUGUUUCCGACUUUUACAAUGGAGUUAGUAGUGCCCGUAGUCAAUUGAAGUUUUGAACUUUCAGUAUUUUACACAAAGUGUAGAAUAUUUGUUAGAUAGUAAUUAGGAUUCAUUAUUGACAUUACAGUUGAUAGAUUCUUUUUGUUUUGUUAUUCUAGACGAAUGUAGUUAAACCUUUUUAUUUGGUAUUGUUUCGACUAAUAUUUGGUGGCGGGUUUAUAACCGAAUGUGGCAUAUUCUUAUUUUUUUUUUGUCCCAUUUGCAUGGAUAUAAAUACAUAGAUCUUUCCCAGCUUUUCACGAAAUCUGAAUGUAAGCCGUUAAUCUUAACAUUUAAAGGAACAUCAUUUUUUAAUUAUUUCUCGAAACACUUCCUAAAUGAAGUUUUACGUACUUAAUAUUAUUUUAUUCUUUGGUGCUCUCGUGAAUAGUUUAUUCGGAAGAUCUAUUCAAAAUUCAAUUUGUAAUUAAAGAAUAUUUCCUUUUGAUAAGGUCGUAGCCGCAGCUUUAUGCUAAGAAUUCUUUGAUUUCAAAUUAGAAUGAGAGAUGAAUAUAUCCCAGUACCAAUAUUACAAAUUACCUUUCGGAAAUUAACUAACUCAAAAACUCACAAAAAGUUCUAUGUACCUGACAGAAAAAGUAAGACCGUCUAUGUAUUCCUGGUCCCACAAAUUAAGACCUUAUCAAAAUGCACAUUUUAGAAGUAAAUUUUUAUAUUCAUAUAAAAUUCCAUUUCAAUCAAAGGGAACGACGAAUAAAGCCAAUAAUUGAACCAGUAAAUAAUCCAGUGAAUUUGUUGAAAUACAAUAAUGGUCCAUGUCAAAUUUUUUAACAAAUAGUAACAAACAGCUCAUACCCUCAAAUCAACAACCGAAUCUAAAUGGUGCUUUUUAAAUUUAAGUAAUUAUGAGACGACAUCAACAGCUUAGCGAAUAUAAUAAACUCAUUUUGUUGAACGUUGACAUUUUUACAGAAAUGUAUCUGCAAGAACAAUAACAAUUCAAACACCGAUUCGAUGCUCUGGAGUAGAACUACCCAAUCAUAAGUUAGCUUAUACUUCCACAAUUACAACAAAAUAUUUAUGAAAACUUGAAUACGCUAGGUUGUUAGCUUUGAAGCCAUAAAGUGGAUUCCAGUCAUAACACGCCGUGGCGAAGUAGGCAUCCUUCAUUUCACAGUACGAUUAGGACAAAAAUCGAUGAUAGUAAAGCUGAAAUUGCUUUGGAAAUCUGGUUAAAAUCGGAUAAUAAUCCUCAAAACUACAAAGUUGUAAAAAAGAAAUUUGACUCCCAGCUCUGCGUGUAUAUCCAUACUAAUUACUGAAAUUGUCCAGGGUGCUGUUGCUACCUGCUUCUCAGUGAAUCGGUCAUGUUGCCUGUGAUGAUACAAAUCAAAAGGCUUCAAAGAAAGCAGAAUAUUCCAAAAAAUGGAUUAUCAUCAAAACAGUUCCAAAAACCACUUUUUCCUAGAGCUUAAUAGAAAUAUGCAUAAAAUUAUAUGUAGACUCUUGGCAAAUCUCCACCUUUUCUGUGGAAGUGUUUUUUUAUUGAUUGAGUUCUUUAGAGUUACCGUUUAUUUUUUUCUCUAGCAAAUCUCCCUUGCAUCGUAUAGAGAUUUUUCCUGAGUUCCAUCAUUGACCUCGACCAAUAAAAGAUUACAUUAUGUCGAGGUAUUAAACUUCUGCAAAGAAAAAAUAUAUAUAAAUGAUUUGGGUAAUUUCGGGACAAAUACGAAAUAAUUACGGAAAUAUUUUCUUUGCUUAUGCAUUAAAGAAUUUACUCCCUUAGAAAAACUCCAACUUAUUCAUGUUUUCAAAGUUCGGCUCAUCCAUUUCAACACUUUUCCAUCUUUUCGCUUGUUGGGUAAGCUUAAAUCUCUACGAAACUUUCUGGAAAUUUUUGUGGAGUAUCAAAGCAGAUCCAGUUGUCUUAAAUAUUAUCGAUGGACGUAUAACCUUCCAUAGUAAAUCAUAAUCUGUUUACACACAGAUGUUCCGUUUAAAGGUUAAAAAUGAAUUUGCAAGAAUGUUCUUGCAGAUUUUCAAAUCUAUAAUACAUUAGUAAUACAAGUUUUAUGGGAGUUUUCACGUUUUAUUUCUAUUACGCUUUUGUGUAAUUUCUAUGCUAUAUAUCACAAAUACGUGACACCAGAGACCACCAUUUUAGUCUCAAUUUACCUACUAAGUUAUCUAGCUCGAUAAAGUGAAAUGUAUUUGAAGAAUAUGAACAUUAGUGUGAAUUCAUUGAGAAAGAUAAACUCCGUCCAGAAUACUAGUCACUACUAUUAUUAUUAUGAAAAAAAUAUUUUGAGUACUUUUAGUUUAUUCAUUUGGGUAUCAGUUUCCAGUAUAGCGUCCUUAAAGGUUACGAUUAUUUUUUUUACACUUAAAUUAUUCUCAUCUACUUAGUUGUUACCAUUUUAGUAUUAAAAUGCGGUUUAGAAGUACAUAACAUAUAUUUCGAAAAUCGUUUAUGUGAUCAAUAGUUGGUUUUUUAUGUUCAACAAUCAAAUUAAAAUCUCAGACAGGAAUAAAUGUUAUUUAUGUCACUCAUAAUAGGAACCACCAGUAUUUCUGCCUUUACUCAUAAAAAACUACGAUGAAUAGAAAAUAUGGCAGUAAAAUUUAAAAAAAUCGAAAGAUCAUAAAUAUCAAAGUAAAGUUAUAUUAUUUUUAUCUAAAAGGCAUUUCUAAAUGCUGUUUCAAUUUAUUAGUUUUUAAAGAAAAAUUUCCAUAAAAGUCAAUAAAAGAGAAAAUAAUGGGGACCAAACACACGGAAAUAUUUCGAAAAUACUUUUUAAGGUAGAAUGAAAACGAAAUAACAAGAAUUUGAAUAACCCAAAAAACUUACAGAAAGUGAUAGAUUCAUUCACUACUACUAAUAUUCUGUUUAAAAAUGAGAUCUAACGACACGGUGCUGUAACAAUUUAAGGAAGUGGUAUUUAGGGUAGGUGGAAGUUUGAAUUUAGCUCGCAAUAUUCAUUAGCAUUCGAAUUAAACUGAAUUGAAUAGAAUUGUAAAGUCAAACAAAAGUUUCUGAACUCAAUUGCAGCAAUCACUUUAAACUUUUUAUGUUAUUAGAAGCAAUACAAAGUCCAAAUGUUUGAAUAUUAAGGGCGAUUUGAUCUUGUUAUUGAUUUCUUUCAGAUCAAUGAUGAGACCUUUUGACAAAAAAGAUUCUAACUAUCCUAAAUUGUCAUUCCCACUGGGUGAGAGCCAUAAAAUUUCACUAAUCUGAACAGAAGUCAUUUAAUCUUGUUCCCCUGACAAAUUAACAAUACUAAAAUGGAAUCAAAUGUACUUUUUCAAAACUGAGUAUUUUUAGAUUUUUUUUUAUGUUUUCGUUUUUGUCUAAUAGGGUUUUUAUUUUUUGCCAUUACUAGUUGUCUGUGUUUAUUUUGAUAUCCUUCGAUUGUUAGCGAGAAACAUACAUAGAAAUAACGAGAAUAGUUUUUCUUUCGAUAUAAAACACUAGAAUAUUCGAGGAGUCUGAUUUUGAAGUUAAAAUAAUGAAAGUUUUCUAUGAAACUUCUGGUUUAUGGGCUUGAACGGAACGGCAAAAUAUAACUAAUAAUCUGAGAUGAGUUUUGUUUAAAUAAAAUAUUUUGCAACUUUUCUUCUCUGUCUGCUUUCCUACUUCCGGCAUCUUUUUUAUCAUGUUAUCUGCAAUGAAGAAUAAACUGAAACUCAGUAUUCCUAUAAAAAACACAUUGCAUCGAUUUAUCACAUUUUGUACUUAUUCCAUUCGUAAUUCUACUAAAAGAGCAAGCUUUUUCUAACAAGGUGGAAUUGCGCGUAUAUAAUACUGUAUAGAAAUUCGACUUACUUUUGUCAAAAUCCCAGAAACAAGCUGAUCUAAUUAGAAUUUCUACCCAACUCAGAUUCAUUGCAGACGGGGAAAUAUCUUUGGUAUGUUGUGCCAACGGAUCGACCAAUGUGAUCUUUAUUUGGUUUUUUAUGAAAACGAUCAAAAAGCUGAUGUUUCCUAGCCAGAAAUUUUAGAGGCUGCACCAAAUACAAUACAGAUCAUGUCCGUAGCCAGUCAGUAAGCCGCUGCCCGUGAAAGAUAGUAAUGUACCUUUGUUUCCAUUCUGAUGCAAAUAAAAAUAAUGGUGGUCUAAUCAUCAGUUUGCCAAUUAAACAUACAACAUUCUUCAUAUAUUCUGAAAUUGGUUACUUAAUUACAAGCAAGAGUGUACCCGGUUUAUUUAUUGAAUUAUUAUCUUUGUGAAGUAGAGUAUAUGAAAAUCGACCAUUGAGCAUUCAAAUAGUUAAGGCAAACUGAUAAUGAAGCCACUUUAGGUUGUCUUCCAAACAAGCAUUUACCAGAAGUUUUAUAGCAACAAUGUGAUUAUAAUAACUUUGAAAUUCAGUCAAAUACGUUAGACAGUAGAAAAUUAGGAUUAUUAGACUCUCGUAAUUCUACGCGUAUAUUUCACUCGAAUCAAAUAUUUUAGCUAGUUGUCAAAUAUUUAUAAAAAAAACUAUAAAUAAUUAAAAUAUGUAAAAUGCUUGAAAUAAAAUAAAUCUAUAUAUCGUUUUAUAGUAGGAGCAUUAAAACAGCAGAGGCGUUUGGCCACCCGAGACCAUCCAUAUCAAAGGGCCGGGGCUCUCUCAUAGAUAUUUCUAAAUACAAUAUAUUCAACGCAUCAAUAUUUAAGAUAAAUCGAAAGAAAAAAAUAUAGAAUUAAAAUAUUUUAAAGAGAAGAAGCAAGGGAAAUAUAAAUAAAAUACUACGAUCGAUGAAAAAAGUAAUACAGUAUGAUGUGCUUGAGUGAGAAACGAUUACACUCUUAACUAAAGCAAUACUAAUUAUUAGAAAAUAUAUAGAAUAUAAAGAGAAAAAUACCCCAAAAAGGAAUUGAAUUGAAAGCAUUCAAGAGGAAAAUGGAUAAAGAUGAAAAGAGAGAGCCCCCACAUGUUAAAAAAAUGUUCCGCCUGAUUGAUAUCAAAAUAUUCUAAUCAUCAAGUUUAACAUUUCAGCCUCCAAAGAAAACCGGAAACAUGGUAUAGCCUGCAUGGGACACCUUAACAACAAAACAAUGCAAUAUUCGAUAUCAAUCAGCGAAAGCAGAAGACUGAAAGACGCCUUCUCUUCUGUCAAUUGCUGCAAUUACUAUUUCAUUGCUGUAAAUAACUGAUUUUCUACAUAUCGUGCCUUGUGCGGUUAUACUGUGCAUUAUUAGGUGUAAGAUAAACCAGAAAUGGAAAAAGAGGUAUCACAAAAAGGUGAAAAUCACAAAAUUCAACAAACAACAAAAUCGUAGACAUAGUUUUGAUUCUGAACCAUCCAAACACCCAACGUAUACUUUAUUGAUCAUAGAAAUUAACCAAAUUGAAAUAUAAAUUAACUGGCAAAUGUCUCUUUUAUUUCAUUUGCCAGGGGGCCCACACACACAAUCUACGCUGUGUGCUAUGUAUGCUUUCAUAAUAAAGUAGUGAAAAUCCAGGCUGCAUUUUCGAAUGUAGAGGAAGUCUGCCGAUGAAGUGAUGUGCACUGAAUCUCAAGAAAUUUUUAAAAACUCGAAAACAGAUAAUCUCAUCUAUAAAAUUGCUUUGUAAAUAUUUAUGAAAUUUAUUUAUUUUUCGAAGGCAAUAUUAAAUAGUAAGGUCGUUAACUUCUACACAUUUAUGUUCUUCAGGAGUGUAAUAUUGAAAUGAAAAAGUAUUUAGGCAAAAUGUUGCGUUUCGAACAUAAUUUCUUCGGCCAAUACGGAAGUAAACGUUUCAAUAAAACAAAUACUCGAAUAGUAUGUCUUAGAACUACUAGAAAGGCGAACAUUAUUUUAAUUCCCCUUUCCGGCCAUUUUGUGUAAACCGGAUAAUCGAUUUGGGGGUACCAUCCUUUAGUUUUUGUUUUGAAUACAUACCGCUAAGUGAGAUAAAUAAAUCGAGGCGCAGCUCCAGAAAAUACCUACCCAACCACUGUAAUUUAUCCGUCCAACCCCUUGUAUCUUCUUCGAUUAUGAUGUCCUCGAAUGAAUCAGUCUUAAUAGGAUCUAAAUGUUGAAUAUAAUUAUAAAUAAAUUCGUUUAACACUACGGCAAUUGCUAUAAUAAUCAAAAUACUGUUUAAAAUAUUAUUAGAAGGUAGUCGUAAAGUAAUAAAUAUAUAGAAUUAACUGCUAUGUUCAUUCAGCCAUCGGAUUCUUCUUCAGCACUCACUUGACUUCUCCUCUACAUUGAAAAGGCGAUUCUGUAUUCAAAUUAUAGAAAUGUCUAACAUUUUCCUUAAAGAUAAUUUAGUUAUUAUUAAUGCGAAUAUAAGAUAAGUAUAUUUGUUAUAACAUCUAAUUGUAAUAUUUAAAAUCAUGAAAUUCGAGAAAAAAACAUUUAAAAUUAAAAUUAUUUUAUAUCACGUUUUACAAAUAUUGAAUGCGCCAUAUAAUGUUUAGUUUUUCUUCGUUUUAAGCUGAACAUACAAAUAAAAUAUAGAAAAUUAAUUGUUACACAAAUUAACGUAAAAAAUUAUAGUAAAUAUUAGAAGCUUGUCGAAGAUUAGAUUCAUAAAGUUAUCUUUGGGCAUUUUUCUCUUAGUUUUCGAUGAGUAACAUUUUCGAAAUUCAUCGUUUUAAAGCACAAAUCAAAAUUCUAAUAGUAACUUUCCGAUGUUGAGAUUCUUUUAGAAAGUAAUUUUAUGUGUGCAGCUGGAUUUGAUUUUAAAAAAAUGCAUUUAUAAUUUCUUGAGGGGCUUGCAAGUUGCAAGAUCAAUCCUAUCCAUCUGAAAGAUUUAAAUUCAGAGUGUUUAUGCAGAACUGAAGAAAUGUUAAAUCGUGUCCAUUUUCAUUUGAUUGGAAAAUGGAAUUGCCUAAUUUUUUCAUUUGAUACAAAUAUUGCCUCCCAUUCAGAUAAGAAUCGGCGUACACACCUUUGUCUUCUUUAUUGGUGCCUUAAUCGGAAAUUUUGUGGAAUAGAACGGAAAUUGUUAUAUAAUUCAAAGUUAUUGAAUACGCAAUGGAAAAGUAUAUUAAUGUGUUUGCAACUCGUACUUUAGACCUCCAAAAUAUAAAUAUUUACAUCUUAAUUUAAUUGAAAGCAAAUUAAUCAAAUAAUAUUAAAUUAAUGUGCAAUUAAUGUUUAUUAAGCAUGAAUUUAUUAUUGAAAGUUAAAUAUAUAGAUUUAUAUAUCAGAACAAUAAACCAUCAUGUAUGUAAAAAGCGUUGUUUUCUUAAUUUUGCAUAUACAUGGAUUAUGUCUACAAAAAUCGAUAUUGUUUAUAUAAAACGAUAUUCUAUUCUAAUGCAAUUGUGUAACUUAUUUUUAAAAUAAUUAAAACUAGCUACAAGUAAGAAACCUUUCACGCACAAAUUAUGCAUUAAAUCAAUUCAGAAAAGUAAACUCACAACGCAUAAUUUAACAACUACUUAUCUAUAAAAAAUACUUUUAGAUAAAUACACAAUGAAGUUUAUUUACACUGAUUACGUUUUAAAAUAAAUAUUAACUCUAAUUAAUUAUUUCGUCUGUUUGUUGUGUUUUCGUUAGAAAUUUUUUUCUAAAUAUGGUUUUCAUUUAUAAAAGCAAGUGCGAUCCGCUGUAAGAAGAAAGUUCUUUUCUAGAAAACAGGAGCAAGCGGGAAAACAUUUUCGAACCUAAUAAUUCAAACUUUUUAACAAGUUUAAGUAAAUUAACAUACGAGUACACAAAAGAAUAACGCAAUCUCAUUUUUAUUCGCAGUUUAUGCUAAAUGAUAGUUAUGUUCAUAUGUUUUAUUGUCUAUAUAAAUUGAAACCAAUAAUACUUUAUUUUCAACUAGUUAUAAGUGAACAGCAAACAAAACAGAGAUAACGAAAAUAAAAGCAAAAUUGUAAACAAAAAUUAUUAUUGUAGUCAAAACAACGGUUUUUGUUUGUUUGUCUAUUGUAAAAAAAAUAAGGAAGAAUAUUUUUAAAUAAAAUUUAUGUAAUG